AGAUUGAACGCUGGCGGCAUGCCUAACACAUGCAAGUCGAACGGGAGUAGCAAUACUCUAGUGGCGGACGGGUGAGGAAUACGUAGGAAUUUGCCCUUAAGUGGGGGAUAACCCGGGGAAACCCGGAUUAAUACCGCAUGACCUCGAAAGAGCAAAGUGGGGGAUCGCAAGACCUCACGCUUUUGGAGAAGCCUACGUCGGAUUAGCUAGUUGGUGAGGUAAUGGCUCACCAAGGCGACGAUCCGUAACUGGUCUGAGAGGAUGAUCAGUCACACCGGAACUGAGACCACGGUCCGGACUCCGUACGGGA
rnacentral:rRNA from 1 species